rnacentral:rRNA from 1 species
GCUUAACACAUGCAAGUCGAGGGGCAGCAUGGUCUUAGCUUGCUAAGGCCGAUGGCGACCGGCGCACGGGUGAGUAACACGUAUCCAACCUGCCGUCUACUCUUGGACAGCCUUCUGAAAGGAAGAUUAAUACAAGAUGGCAUCAUGAGUCCACACGUUCACAUGAUUAAAGGUAUUCCGGUAGACGAUGGGGAUGCGUUCCAUUAGAUAGUAGGCGGGGUAACGGCCCACCUAGUCUUCGAUGGAUAGGGGUUCUGAGAGGAAGGUCCCCCACAUUGGAACUGAGACACGGUCCAAACUCCUACGGGAGGCAGCAGUGAGGAAUAUUGGUCAAUGGGCGAGAGCCUGAACCAGCCAAGUAGCGUGAAGGAUGACUGCCCUAUGGGUUGUAAACUUCUUUUAUAAAGGAAUAAAGUCGGGUAUGCAUACCCGUUUGCAUGUACUUUAUGAAUAAGGAUCGGCUAACUCCGUGCCAGCAGCCGCGGUAAUACGGAGGAUCCGAGCGUUAUCCGGAUUUAUUGGGUUUAAAGGGAGCGUAGAUGGAUGUUUAAGUCAGUUGUGAAAGUUUGCGGCUCAACCGUAAAAUUGCAGUUGAUACUGGAUAUCUUGAGUGCAGUUGAGGCAGGCGGAAUUCGUGGUGUAGCGGUGAAAUGCUUAGAUAUCACGAAGAACUCCGAUUGCGAAGGCAGCCUGCUAAGCUGCAACUGACAUUGAGGCUCGAAAG